AUUUGGAUUAAUACCUCAUAGUAUUAUGGCAUCUAAAGUCACGGUAAAAGAUGAGCAUGCGUCCCAUUAGCUAGUUGGUAUGGUAACGGCAUACCAAGGCUACGAUGGGUAGGGGUCCUGAGAGGGAGAUCCCCCACACUGGUACUGAGACACGGACCAGACUCCUACGGGAGGCAGCAGUGAGGAAUAUUGGUCAAUGGGCGCAAGCCUGAACCAGCCAUGCCGCGUGCAGAAUGACGGCCUUAUGGUUGUAAACUGCUUUUGUACAGGAAGAAUGACGGUACUGUAAGAAUAAGGAUCGGCUAACUCCGUGCCAGCAGCCGCGGUAAUACGGAGGAUCCAAGCGUUAUCCGGAAUCAU
rnacentral:rRNA from 1 species